rnacentral:rRNA from 1 species
CCUANGGGAGGCAGCAGUGGGGAAUAUUGGACAAUGGGCGCAAGCCUGAUCCAGCAAUGCCGCGUGUGUGAAGAAGGCCUGCGGGUUGUAAAGCACUUUCAGUAGGGAGGAAGGACUUAGUCAUAAUACGGCUAAGUAUUGACGUUACCUACAGAAGAAGCACCGGCUAACUCUGUGCCAGCAGCCGCGGUAAUACAGAGGGUGCGAGCGUUAAUCGGAAUUACUGGGCGUAAAGGGUGCGUAGGUGGUUUAAUAAGUCAGAUGUGAAAUCCCCGGGCUCAACCUGGGAACUGCAUUUGAAACUAUUAGGCUAGAGUACGGUAGAGGGAAGUGGAAUUUCCGGUGUAGCGGUGAAAUGCGUAGAUAUCGGAAGGAACAUCAGUGGCGAAGGCGACUUCCUGGACCGCAACUGACACUGAGGCACGAAAGCGUGGGGAGCAAACAGGAUUAGAUACCCUUNUANUC